ACGAGGAUAACGACUGGAAACGGUACGCUAAAACUGGAUAGGAUCAUUUGAGGCAUCUCGAAUGAUUUAAAGGGGCUUCAAGCCACACUUAGAGAAAGGCCUGCGGCGCAGUUAGCUAGGUUGGUGGGGUAGAGGCCUACCAAGGCGAUGAUGCGUAGCCGGACUGAGAGGUCGAACGGCCACAUUGGGACUGAGACACGGCCCAAACUCCUACGGGAGCAGCAGUAGGGAAUUUUCGGCAAUGGGGGAAACCCUGACCGAGCAACGCCGCGUGAAUGAAAGACGUAUUUCGGUAUGUAAAGUUCUUUUAUUAAGGAAGAAUAUCACGGAUAGGAAAUGAUCUGUGAGUGACGGUACUUAAUGAAUAAGCCCCGGCUAACUAUGUGCCAGCCGCCGC
rnacentral:rRNA from 1 species